rnacentral:rRNA from 1 species
AUUACUGGGCGUAAAGCGUGCGCAGGCGGAUUGUUAAGCAAGAUGUGAAAUCCCCGGGCUUAACCUGGGAAUGGCAUUUUGAACUGGCAGUCUAGAGUGCGUCAGAGGGGGGUGGAAUUCCACGUGUAGCAGUGAAAUGCGUAGAGAUGUGGGGGAACACCAAUGGCGAAGGCAGCCCCCUGGGAUGACACUGACGCUCAUGUACGAAAGCGUGGGUAGCAAACAGGAUUAGAUACCCUGGUAGUCCACGCCCUAAACGAUGUCAACUGGUUGUUGGGGGAGUGAAAUCCCUUAGUAACGAAGCUAACGCGUGAAGUUGACCGCCUGGGGGGUACGGUCGCAAGAUUAAAACUCAAAGGAAUUGACGGGGACCCGCACAAGCGGUGGAUGAUGUGGAUUAAUUCGAUGCAACGCGAAAAACCUUACCUACCCUUGACAUGUCCGGAAUCCUGCAGAGAUGCGGGAGUGCUCGAAAGAGAACAGGAACACAGGUGCUGCAUGGCUGUCGUCAGCUCGUGUCGUGAGAUGUUGGGUUAAGUCCCGCAACGAGCGCAACCCUUAUCAUUAGCUGCUACGCAAGGGCACUCUAAUGAGACUGCCGGUGACGAACCGGAGGAAGGUGGGGAUGACGUCAAGUCCUCAUGGCCCUUAUGGGUAGGGCUUCACACGUCAUACAAUGGUCGGUACAGAGGGUUGCCAAGCCGCGAGGUGGAGCCAAUCCCAGAGAGCCGAUCGUAGUCCGGAUUGUUCUCUGCAACUCGAGAGCAUGGAGUCGGAAUCGCUAGUAAUCGCGGAUCAGCAUGUCGCGGUGAAUACGUUCCCGGG